UAGGGAAUCUUCCACAAUGGACGCAAGUCUGAUGGAGCAACGCCGCGUGAGUGAAGAAGGUUUUCGGAUCGUAAAGCUCUGUUGUUGGUGAAGAAGGACAGGGGUAGUAACUGAUUCUUGUUUGACGGUAAUCAACCAGAAAGUCACGGCUAACUACGUGCCAGCAGCCGCGGUAAUACGUAGGUGGCAAGCGUUGUCCGGAUUUAUUGGGCGUAAAGCGAACGCAGGCGGGAGAAUAAGUCAGCUGUGAAAGCCCUCAGCUUAACUGGGGAACUGCAGCUGAAACUAUUUUUCUUGAGUGCAGAAGAGGAGAGUGGAACUCCAUGUGUAGCGGUGGAAUGCGUAGAUAUAUGGAAGAACACCAGUGGCGAAGGCGGCUCUCUGGUCUGUAACUGACGCUGAGGUUCGAAAGCAUGGGUAGCGAACAGG
rnacentral:rRNA from 2 species